UCUCCUGUUCAUAAAUGCAACAAAGCCACAAUUUCUUUCUCUUGCUCUUUCUUCAUCAGUUCUUGGCCACAUAAUUUUAACACUUGCUAGUGGUCCAAAGCGUCCAAAUUCUUGACAUAACAUCUCUUCAUUCAUUUGAGGAUUAAUGUUUCCCAGGUACAAAUUUGUUGUGCUUGGAUCUCCAACAUCAUGUGACCCUGGUGCAUAAUCAUCCAGUACACCAGAUGAUCUGUUUCUUCUUGAAGGAGCAUCCAUUGAACGACGCUGACCAUCUGAAUCCGACUGGGGUGGUUCAAAACGACUCAGUCUACCUUUGGUUUUAUGUCUUUCAUCACGCUCUUCUUGUAUCUGCUUUAAUUCUUCUUUAAAAAGUUCCAGAUUGCUCUUUUUCUUUUCCUUCUCUCCUUUCUUCAAAGGAGGCUUUUUGGUUUCUAUCAUUAAGAGGGAUGGAGGCUUCUCAUUAGAUGGUUGACUUGGUUGGUUUUUCUGAUCUGAAAAUCGUGAUGAAGGUUUAUAGAUUUUACCCCGUUUUUCAUCUGUUUCAUGUUCCUCUUUAGAUGCAUUAACAAUUCCUCCUCUUACAAAUGUUUUCACUUUAUUGCCAUCGCUUCCCUCAAAGGCAGCAAGGAAUUCUUCAUAAAUUUCUGCAGCAGCCUUCUCAUCCUCCUUCUUUUUUAAUUCUUCUUGUUCCUUCUUGCUCAAAGUCCGUUUGGCAGCACUCAUUUUGCCAAUGCUGAACGCUUUAAGUUUACUUUCCAUUAAAGGAUGUGUAUCAGCAGACCCAGUGUUAUGUACCGCAUCUGGAGCUCUGACCUUCCCACUGCCUUUCUGCGAGCCGCCGGGCGCCUUGUCCGCCAUCUUGCCUCUCCCUGCGCUCAGCCCCG
rnacentral:lncRNA from 1 species